rnacentral:lncRNA from 1 species
CAGGACCAUGUGUUAAUAGAGUUGAAACAGACCGGAUUAAAAACAACUGAAGGAUUAGUGAGAGAAGAUGAUCCAUUCUUAGUUGUCCAUCCAAAUUAUGUUAUUGAUUCAUGAGAUUGUUAGAAAACACAGAUUGACUAACAAGAGAAUAAGGAAUUAUAAGGUCACAAAAUAAUGGAUUAAAUUAUUUUUUUUUAAAGUAGGGUUAUUAGAAAUGAUUUCAACAAAAGCAUUAACUUUGAAGAUCUAAUAAUCAAAUGUUUAACAUCAGUCUUAUUUGUUAGUUUAUACAUUUUGUGUAAUUAUAUAAGAGAAGGGGUGAUAAAAAUCAUAAAUUUUUAAUUCAGUAACCAUUUGUAAAUAUUUGCCAAAAUAUAUAUGUAAAAUCAGUCAAGAGAUGUAUUAAAUAUGUCUUUAAUGGUGAAAAAAAUGUAAUGUUUCAGGUCUGACACUGGCACUCCUAUUUAAUAUAAUUUAAAGAAUAUUAACUAUAGAUUCAUAACUUAUAAUGCCACAUUUUUAUCUUGGCCUAAAUUCAACAGGGCUUUCACAUUCUUAUAUCUUUUUUCAUUCUGAGAUUUUUAAAUGUUUCAAUGAUAAUUAAUUGAUACAUAUUGGAUUUAUAUAAUUAUAUUUUGUAUAGAUUAUUUCUUUUUGUUAUUAAGAUCCUGAAAUUUCACAUGUACAUUUGUAUCAUCAUCAUAUAUAUUGUCAGGUUAGUGAUAGGUCUGCUGUUUAUAUCAAUUAUCUUGUGUAAAAAAAAAAUGUUUUCAAAAAGUAUUUUAUAUUUGAAAAAUUUCCUCACUUGAAAUUAUAUUUUCAAAAAAAUAUGUUUUGAUAAAACACUUAAAAUCAGACUCCAAUCUUAAUUAAUUGGGAUUGUCAGUUUUCCUGUUAAAGGCAUGUUCUCUCGAUGCACUCCGGGUGCCUCCCCAAAAAAAAACUGUCUACCAAGAAAUAACCCAAAAGUACUGAAAGUGUUGAUAAAACACAAAAUCAGUCAAUCAAUCAAUCAAUCGUUAAAAAAACUGGAUUUAGAUCUGAUCUGUAUAAUAAAAAGCAAAACUGGAUAAAGAAUAUUUGUAAACAUAACCUUGUAUCAUACUAAUUUUGUAUUAUGACUUGUAAAGUUUCAUACAUAGGUGCUAGUACAUAUGGAUCAUUUGCCAGUAUCAUUUUACAUAAAAAGCUGAACUGACCAUACUUUAUACAACUUUCAUCAGAAUUUUUUGCAUAUUCACAAAUUCAUUGUUUUUUUCUUGUUAUUUGAUAUAAAGGGCAUUUAGUGCUGUUGGAACAAAUAUUUUGCCAUAAGUGUUCAAUAUUUUGUAAUGUUAUUUUGCCAAAAUGUGUUCAUGUUAAUCUGAUGCAAAGAAAUUCUCUUUACUUAUAUUUGUGUUCUUGAACAUCCUACGCAUACUAUUGAAAUGAAAUAGAUUUAGACAUAAUCAAAUGUAUUUAUCAACCAAAUGUGUUCACUCAGUAUACAUUUACAGAUUCAGUAAUUGUGUUCGGACAUUAAUAUUUUAUAUUCAGGAACUAUUUUUUGCCACAUGAUGUGUUCAACUCUGUACAGAUUGGAAUAAUAAGCCAUGGAAUAAACUAUAUAUCA